CAGAUAUAAGCUGUACCGCCACUCCCUAUACGCAGAGUAUGCAGUUUGCAUAGGGCACCAACUCCCCGGGGGGCACCAUACCAGUUGCU